rnacentral:rRNA from 1 species
GAUGAACGCUGGCGGCGUGCCUAAUACAUGCAAGUCGAGCGAACGGACGAGAAGCUUGCUUCUCUGAUGUUAGCGGCGGACGGGUGAGUAACACGUGGAUAACCUACCUAUAAGACUGGGAUAACUUCGGGAAACCGUAGCUAAUACCGGAUAAUAUUUUGAACCGCAUGGUUCAAAAGUGAAAGACGGUCUUGCUGUCACUUAUAGAUGGAUCCGCGCUGCAUUAGCUAGUUGGUAAGGUAACGGCUUACCAAGGCAACGAUGCAUAGCCGACAUGAGAGGGUGAUCGGACACACUGGAACUGAGACACGGUACAGACUCCUACGGGAGGCAGCAGUAGGGAAUAUUCCGCAAUGGGCGAAAGCAUGACGGAGCAACGCCGCGUGAGUGAUGAAGGUCUUCGGAUCGUAAAAAUCUGUUAUUAGGGAAGAACAUAUGUGUAAGUAACUGUGCACAUCUUGACGGUACCUAAUCAGAAAGCCACGGCUAACUACGUG